rnacentral:rRNA from 1 species
GACGAACGCUGGCGGCGUGCUUAACACAUGCAAGUCGAACGGUGAAGCCCUUCGGGGUGGAUCAGUGGCGAACGGGCGCGUAACACGUUAGCAACCUGCCCCUGGCUCUGGGACAACCACUGGAAACGGUGGCUAAUACCGGAUACGCCCCGCCUCGGCACCGCGUGUGGGUGGAAAGUCGUUCGGCUGGGGAUGGGGUCGCGGCGUAUCAGCUUGUUGGUGUGGUGAAGGCUCACCACGGGGACGACGGGUAGCCGGCUUGAGAGGGGGACCGGCCACACUGGGACUGAGACACGGCGCAGACGCCUACGGGAGGCAGCAGUGGGGAAUAUUGCACAAUGGGCGAAAGCCUGAUGCAGCGACGCCGCGUGAGGGAUGACGGCCUUCGGGUUGUAAACCUCUUUCAGCUCCGAAGAAGCGAAAGUGACGGUAGGAGCAGAAGAAGCACCGGCUAACUACGUG